rnacentral:rRNA from 1 species
UACGUAGGGUGCAAGCGUUGUCCGGAAUUAUUGGGCGUAAAGAGCUUGUAGGCGGUUUGUCGCGUCUGCUGUGAAAAUCCGGGGCUCAACCCCGGACUUGCAGUGGGUACGGGCAGACUAGAGUGUGGUAGGGGAGACUGGAAUUCCUGGUGUAGCGGUGAAAUGCGCAGAUAUCAGGAGGAACACCGAUGGCGAAGGCAGGUCUCUGGGCUGUAACUGACGCUGAGGAGCGAAAGCAUGGGGAGCGAACAGG